ACUUACUCAUUCACAUAUCUGAUAGACAUUUGGAUGUUCCAUGUGAGUGAGCUCUCUUGAAAUCUGAGGUGGUUUUGUAGACAACAGUAAAUAAGUGGGGGAGAUUUUUGUUGCCAUGAGUAGGACCUGUCAUGACUGAGCAUGUUUCUCUUCCUAUGUUUCUCUUUCUCAUUAUCCUACAAUGUUCAUUCAAUCUCUGAGAUAAACUGCUUGUAACUGAACCUUUUCCCUGUGGUCAGCUUCUGGGCAAUACCAAGAGUUUUGGUAAGAGAUGUAAAGGACAAAUCUGUGACAGUAUAAAUAAAAUAUGUGUGCAUGUUUAAGAGUGUAUGUGUAUGUAUAUUUGUGCAUUUGACCUAAUAAAAACAGUUUAAAAAGUGUUUGGAAUCUAGUUAUGGAUUGCUCAUUUUUUCUUAAAAGCUUUAGAAAACUGUGACCUACUUCAGUAUCUGUAGCCUCCUUAGGGUCACCCAGGUAACUGAGAAAUAGAGUAGGUACCAUUCUGAUUUUCAGAUUCUUCAGACUUUACCAACAUUGUUUCCUCAUGGGAUGUCCUAGAGGUAGGUGACAAAUUAUGACAAGUUUAGCCAAGAUGAAACUGCCAAGGCAAUCUACAGAUUCCAUGAAAUCUCUAUUGAAUCACCAAUGGAAUUUUUCGUAGAACUAGAACAAAAAGAGUUUAAAAUGUGUAUAGAAAUAUCAAAGACCCCAAAUAGCCAAAGCAAUCCUGAGAAAGAAAAACAGAGCUAAAAAGAAAAACGGAGCUAGAAUCAGGCUUCCUGACUUUAGACUGCAUGACAAAGCUAUAGUCAUCAAAACACUGUGGUACAGGCACAAAAACAAAUACAGAUCAAUGGAAGAGGAUAGAAAGCCCAGAAAUAAACCCAUGCACCUAUGGUCAACUAAUCUACAACAAAGGAGGCAACAAUAUACAGUGGAGAAAAGAUGGUGUCUUCAAGAAGUGGUACUGAGAAAACUGGACAGUUACAUGUAAAAGAAUAAAUUAGAACACUCUCUAGCACCACAUAAAUUUAACAUGAAGUAAAGACCUAAAUGUACAACCUGAUACUAUAAAACUUCCAGAGAAAAACAUAGGCAAAAAACUCUCUGACAUAAACUGCAGCAAUAUCUUUCCAGGUCCACCUCCUAGAGUAAUGAAUAUAAAAACAAAAAUAAACAAAUUUGACCUAAUUAAACUUAAAAAUUUUUACACAGCAAGGGAAACCAUAAACAAAACAACAAUAUAAUCCACAGAAUGGGAUAAAAUCUUUACAAACAAAGCAACUGACAAUAGAUUAAUCUCCAAAAUAUACAAAUAACCCAUGCAGCUCAAUAUCAAAAAAACAAACAACCCAAUCAAAAAAUGGGCAGAAGACCCUAAACAGACAUUUCUCCAAAAAAGUCAUACAGAUGGCCAAAAAACACAUGAAAAGAUGCUUAGCAUCACUAGUUAGAGAAAUUCAAAUCUAAAUUGCAGUAUCACCUCCCACCAGCCAGAAUGGCCAUCAUCAAAAUGUCUAUAAAUAAGAAAUGCUGGUGAGGGUGCAGAGAAAAGGGAAUCCUCCCCCACACUGUUGGUAGGAAUGGAAAUUGGCACAAUAAAUAUGGAGAAAAUAUGGAGGCUCCUAAAAAAACUAAAAAUAGAACUAUCAUAUGAUCUAACAAUCCCAAUUGUGGGCAUGUAUCCAGGAAAAAAAAAAUACAUGUACCCUAUUGUUCACUGUAGCACUGUUUACAAUAGCCAAGACAUGGAGGCAAUUUAAAUGUAGAUCAAGAGAGCAACAGAUAAAGAAGAUGUGGCAAUAUAUACAACGGAAUAUUACUCAGCCACAAAAAAAGAAUGAAAUAAUGUCAUUUGCAGCAACAUGGAUGGACCUAGAGAUUAUCAUACUAAGUAUGACAGACAGUGAAAGAUGAAUAUCAUGUAUCACUUAUAUGUGGGAUCCUUAAAAAAAGAUACAAAUGAACUUAUUUGCAGAACAGAAUCAGACUUAAGACUUUAAAAACAAACUUAUGGUUCCCGAAGGGAGGAGGGAUAGACUGGGAGUUCGGAAUUGGCAUAUGCACACAGUGGUAUAUGGAAUGAGUGGCCAGCAGAGGCCUGCUGUAUAGCAUGGGGAACUCUAUCCAAUAUUCUGUGAUAAUCUAUGUGGAAAAAGAAUCUGCAAAAGAAUGGAUGUGGGUAGUUGUAUAACUGAGUCACUUUGUUGUAUACCAGAAAUUACUACAACACUGUAAAUCAAAUUCAAUAAAACUUUAAAAAAUGAAAAAAAAGCUUUCAAUUCUUUUCCUUUGAAACAUAUUUUCAGUCACCAUACUGCAUUGAAAACCCACAAAAAAUCUACAGUCUAUAACAGAAAUUCAGAGUAUCUUUAGAAAAACAGGAUAUUUUUAAUUAAAACACUUUUCCCAAUCACAAUAUCCAGUACUUAAGAGGCCCAGAUUUUGUCUCCUUAUGGUCGCUCAUUAUCUUGUAAUAAAGGGUGACCUUUUAGAAUAGGACAGCCACAGAUUUCAAUCCUAGCUCCAACAUAAUCCUAUAUAACCCUGAGAAAUUAUGGACUAAUUUAGCAUCUUACUAAUGUCACACAAAAAUUCCCUCAGUGAACGCAAAUAGCUAACAAAUGAAAACACUAUGCAACUCCAAAGAAUCCUACCCAAUUUGCAAAUAUACUCCAAUAACAAACAAUAAAAGAAUCUAAGACAUGAGGAAUUCAGGGUAUCAGCAGAUAAGAAAUUACCAACUGCAAAAGAAAACAGAAGGGGACAAACAGGCUAAGGCUGCUAAGGGGAAACUUACUGAUGGUUUCACAUUGUUCUUCAGGGUAUGUGGUCAGUAUAGAAUACAAUAAUUCCAUCUGGAUUUCCUCCUUUAAUUUUCACCACAAAUAAAAUGACAAUCACUAAAAUAAAUUAUAUUUGGUAACAAAUUUUAUAAAAAUAAAGAUCUUGCACUAGAGACAUUUUAUAAUCAUAAAACAUGAAUUUAUGCAACUUUAUCUUUUCGGACUAAUCUGUAUUUUGAAUAAGUACUAAAGUGCAAUAUAUUUGAUAGAGAACUAUGAUGAUUUGGACACCACUGAUUGCUAACAGCUUUUAAUUUUGAAAAAUUUCCCAACUUUUCAGUUUGUCAAAUUGAAUACCCAAAGAAUACAGGAAAAGAUAACCUUCAAAUUAGAAAUAAUUGACAUCAUUCCAUUUGACACUUCAUAUCCCUUCCUAAAUUUUCUGUAAAAUAUUCUCACUUUGUGCCUCCUCAGCAAUCACUAGGAAUGGUCUGUUAACUGAGAAGAUGAGAAAUAUAUACCAAAGCAGAUGACAAGUGACCUUUAGAGAACAGUCAUGGCUUUCAUCCUUAGGUUGUCAUUCAUCCUGAAGAUGCUGAGAAAGGAUCUGACCUGUCUACAUCUAAAUUUCUUCAAUUUCAAAACACCAAGGCCUGUUUCAUUGGCCCUUGCAAUGAACAACUGACAAAAUCCAUAUAAAGUCGCGAGUAUAUACAUUCAUUGAGAAAAAAUUACACAGAUAUGACUUAGGAUUUUUAGUUUGUGACACAACCACUAUGGUGAACUGGAGUAGGUUGUGUGCUUCAAACUUUUAAAAAUAUAUUUUAGGGAGGGUAUCUCUUACUCUGUCUCCCCUCCCCUCUCUCCUUCCCUCUCUCUUUCCCUCAUCCACUUCUCCCACUCUGUAUUAAUAAGUACCUUACACAGUGAAAACUGAAAUUAAGUAGAUAAAAUGGUUAGACUGAUUCAUGAUGGUUUUAAAAUUAAAAAUUAUUUUUUCAUUAUUAGGUAACUGUGGAUAUCUUUAAUUUUGAUUUUAAAAUGUGUGCAGAUUUACUCAUAUUAAGAAUUUUUUCUGGCCAUGCACAUAAAAUGAUUCAACAUAAUAUUUAUCUUCUUGUCACAAAGCUUCAAUCUAAUUCUCAUUUUCCACAGUGAUACAAAUAUAAAUCAUACAGAAUUUAAAAACAACAACAUUCAAUAUUAAAGCAAAGUAGGAUAUUAGCAAAUACCUAGUACAAUACUCAUUAUACAGAUAAGGAAAAUAUUUCCAAGCAGGUGGCUCUUUAUAUACUUUUUCAUUCUUUUAUUGUGCUUCUAAGAUAAUUCCAGGAGGAAUGACGAUAGAAUGUGUCCCAUAUACCAUCUUGAACUUGAUGAUUCAUAAUUUUAUUGCAAGGACAAUGCAUCAGCUAAAAGAGUUUGAAAAUCAUUAGACUUCAUACCUAUUCCUGUUUCCAAAAUGUUAUAUCAUAGGUUGUUUUUCAUGGGCCUGGCAUCUCUCCCUGUGUCUACUGUGAGUUCUCCUACUUUAUAGGGAGCUUUGAGAAUAAUUCUUCUAGACAACUAACUAUUAAAGCUUUUCAUUAAUAAAUGCAUGUUUAUCAAAAUCAGAAUGCAGCCAGAAGCUUCCUUCUGCUUUCUAUUUCCAGCUGUUAAAAUUAAAAAUGACUGCAGAUAUGGAUGAUUUAGUGUCUUCACUUUCAAAUCAACUUCCUAGUGAAUGGGAUCCAAGACAAAAAUGGCAUAGUGGAAGGACCUGAGUUCACCUUCUCUUGAAAACACCAAAAUCACCACUACCUGCAGAACAACCAUCAACAAAAAAGACUGGAACCUUCCAUAAAAGAUAUUCUACAUCCAAAGACAAAGAAGAGCCACAAUAAAUGUUAGGAGAGGCACUUCUACAAUACAAUCAAAUCCUAUACAUGUUGGGUGGGCAACCCACACACUGGAAAAUAAACAUAACACAGAAGUUUUCCUAAGGAGUGAGAGUUCUGAAUCCUUUAUCAGGCUUCCAGGCCUGGGGGCCUGGUAUUAGAAGGAUGAGCCCCCAGAAGAGUUGUCAUUUAAGAGUAGUGAGGCUAGGAGUUCCCGUCAUGGUGCAGUGGAAACGAAUCCAACUAGGAUUCGAUCCCUGGCCCCACUCAGUGGGUUAAGAUCUGAUGUUGCCGUGAGCUGUGGUGUAGGUCGCAGAGGCAGCUCGGAUCUGGCAUUCCUGUGGCUCUGGCAUAGGCCAGCAGCAAUAGCUCUGAUUAGACCCCUAGCCUGGGAACCUCCACAUGUUGUGGGUAUGGCCCUAAUAAAGGACAACG
rnacentral:lncRNA from 1 species